rnacentral:rRNA from 1 species
CAGUCGCCGCGGGAAUACGGAGGGUGCAAGCGUUAAUCGGAAUUACUGGGUGUAAAGCGUGCGUAGGCGGUUCGUUAAGUCUGUUGUGAAAGCCCCGGGCUCAACCUGGGAAUGGCAAUGGAUACUGGCGAGCUAGAGUGUGUCAGAGGAUGGUGGAAUUCCCGGUGUAGCGGUGAAAUGCGUAGAGAUCGGGAGGAACAUCAGUGGCGAAGGCGGCCAUCUGGGACAACACUGACGCUGAGGCACGAAAGCGUGGGGAGCAAACAGGAUUAGAUACCCGCGUAGUCCCUGUCUCUUAUAC